UACAGAGGGCUCAAGCGUUGUCCGGAUUUAUUGGGUUUAAAGGGUGCGUAGGCGGUCUAUUAAGUCAGUGCUGAAAUAUCCCGGCUUAACCGGGAGGGUGGCAUUGAUACUGAUGGACUUGAGUGCAGUCGAGGUAGGCGGAAUUGACGGUGUAGCGGUGAAAUGCUUAGAUAUCGUCAAGAACACCGAUAGUGAAGACAGCUUACUAGACUGUAACUGACGCUGAGGCACGAAAGUGUGGGGAUCAAACAGG
rnacentral:rRNA from 1 species